CGACCUGUUUCUUCUCUAUUUUGCCUUUUCCACCAUGGCGGUCCAUGGCGUGCCCGCCCCUCCGGCGCCGCCGCCCGACGCCCGCGCCAACCUCGCCACCUCCUCCUCCUUGCUCUCCUACCUCACGUAACUUUGAGCCCCUUCCAUUCACCCUUCCCACCAUUCCGCGGCAUCGGCCUGAGAGCCGAGAACGGCCACUAACCUCCCUCCUGUUGGUCUUGGUGCCCUCCACCUCCAUGACGGUCGCUCACGCCCUCUCCAUGUUCCGCCUCCAGUGUCCUUGGAGCAGGCAGCGGAGGCCUUUGAAUAAUUGAUUGGACAUGCUUCCUGACUCCUGAGAAGAGAUUGGGUUAUAAUCUCUUCAGUUCAGCUCUUCAGAUGAAAUCCAUGUACAGCUUAAAAAAAUAGUAACACAUAGAAUUGGGGAUGGAUUCAGUUACUCUACUGUUACCUCAGUCAGAAACCAUCACAUCGGUUAGCUUAUCUUCCACUAUGCGAGACUAAGAUUGCCAAGUGUCCCCUGCUGCUUAAAGAAACACCGCCUACAAUUCGGGAUGGGGUUCAGGUACCGUAGCCAGAUCGGUUGGAAGCGAUCAAUUAGCUUAUCCUCACUAGGUGUGGCUAAAGAUUGGCAGCCUGCUGUCACUGUCCAUGAGCAGGACAGCGUUCACUGUCUAUCUCUGCAUCACCAACCACAAGCCAAUAAUGCAAUGGAGUAUAUUCUGAACAGAAAUGAGCCAUUUGGCAAAGACUUGUCAACAUCCCCUUUGAUGGGCUAGAACAUCCUGCACAAGAAGGCAGGCAUUGACUGACUUGAGAGGUCACUCUGCGGCAGCAACACCACAAUAAAGUAGUGGUGCAUUAUAAUGUAGCCAAAUCAACCACAUCAACAUCCCCUAGAAUACAGGUGCUUAAUUUUCCUGUUCUUCCCCAUGUCUUCUUACUUGGGUGGGUCUAGUGUCUCCACAAAUUUGCAGCACCAAGCCAGUCAUGCAAGUGGUACGUUCAAGAGAAGGCUUCCCAGCUGGGACGUUCACCCCAUACCACUGUUAAAUCCCCAUAAAAUUGUAAAAUAAUUGCCGCAGACUUGACAGUCCAGCAAACUUGUAACAAGUGGCUAAUGUAGUGCCGUAAAUUUGCAAAUCACGGCACUUUGAUCGCUAUAACAUUGAAUUAGCCAAAAUGUUUGACAAAAGCCAUGUCCAAUGCUGGUGAGUUUCUGGUGUAGUUUGUCUGGCUUCAUACUCACUAGUAGAAAACAGGGCUUAGGUCACAGGACAGUUUUCACAU